UAUCCUUGCUACAUUGCCCAAGUUACCAAAAGUAAAACAGCUUUCAAAAAAAAAUAAAAGAAUCAAAUGCUCAUCUCUGAUACAAUCAGAUAAUAUUUAGAUUGAGUUAGCUAUCAGAAGGGGUAACAGAGAAGCAGAUGGAUCGAUAUCAAUGGCCGCGAAAAAACUGUUUUACCUUCUGACAAAUAGAUGCUUGACACCUUCUAUUAUGCCAUCUGCCAAUCCCCUUUGUCAGUGUAGCAAAACUCAUUUAGACCUUCAUCCAGCUUGAUCCACACUCAAAAGUCACUUUACACGAACCACAACAGUGUAAUUGUGUAAAGGUCCGGAAAGAAAAGAUGGCUAGUACAUGAGCAGCCCACAAACAUACACUCUGUCAACUGCUUGUAACCAUUGGCAGCAUUCCACUUCAACAGAAGUUUCUCCGUGUCCGUGUCCGUGCCUGUUCCCGUGCUCAUGCCUGUGCCCGUGUCUUCGACCUGAUUUGUCCGAGGAAGGAGGGAAAGGCUCCGGUGGAGGGACAGGUGUGACUACAGCACGCAAGAUUUACACUUGCAACCUAAGUUGCACAAAGUGGUGGGAAAACUGGGGGAUUUGGCUCUGCGUUCCAACGUACAGUCCUAGAAAUAUCACAAAGAAGAGUGCAAGCAGAAGGGGGAAGACUUGAUUCUUGGCUCUUAGACCUAAGAUAUUAUGCAAGAAAAUAAGAGCAAAACUUGAAGUAAUCCUUCUUCCUACUUAUAUAUGUAUGCUUUAC
rnacentral:lncRNA from 1 species